rnacentral:rRNA from 1 species
CACCUCUAGCAUUUCAAGUAUUAGAGGCAUUGCCUGCCCAGUGACUAUUGUUAAACGGCCGCGGUAUCCUGACCGUGCAAAGGUAGCAUAAUCAUUUGUUCCUUAAUUAGGGACUAGAAUGAACGGCUAGACGAGGGUUCAACUGUCUCUUAUUUUUAAUCAGUGAAAUUAACCCUCCAGUGAAGAGGCUGGAAUAUAAUAAUAAGACGAGAAGACCCUAUGGAGCUUAAAUUAAAAAGCUUAAUUACUGUUUCACUACCCUAAAUGGCAUAAGACAAAAAAUUAUAAGCUUAAAAUUUUGGUUGGGGUGACCUCGGAGAAUAAAAAAUCCUCCGAACGAUAAAUAACUUAGACUCACAAGUCAAAGUAGCCUAACUAUCUAAUUGACCCAAAAAUUGAUCAACGGACCAAGUUACCCUAGGGAUAACAGCGCAAUCCUAUUUAAGAGUUCAUAUCGACAAUAGGGUUUACGACCUCGAUGUUGGAUCAGGACAUCCCAAUGGUGCAGAAGCUAUUAAUGGUUCGUUUGUUCAACGAUUAAAGUCCACCGUGAUCUA